rnacentral:rRNA from 1 species
GAUGAACGCUGGCGGCGUGCCUAAUACAUGCAAGUCGAACGAAACUUCUUUAUCACCGAGUGCUUGCACUCACCGAUAAAGAGUUGAGAGGCGAACGGGUGAGUAACACGUGGGCAACCUGCCCAAAAGAGGGGGAUAACACUUGGAAACAGGUGCUAAUACCGCAUAACCAUAGUUACCGCAUGGUAACUAUGUAAAAGGUGGCUAUACUACCGCUUUUGGAUGGGCCCGCGGCGCAUUAGCUAGUUGGUAGGGUAAAGGCUUACCAAGGCAAUGAUGCGUAGCCGAAUUGAGAGGUUGAUCGGCCACAUUGGGACUGAGACACGGCCCAAACUCCUACGGGAGGCAGCAGUAGGGAAUCUUCCACAAUGGGCGAAAGCCUGAUGGAGCAACGCCGCGUGGGUGAAGAAGGUCUUCGGAUCGUAAAACCCUGUUGUUAGAGAAGAAAGUGCGUGAGAGUAACUGUUCACGUUUCGACGGUAUCUAACCAGAAAGCCACGGCUAACUACGUG